rnacentral:rRNA from 1 species
AUUGAACGCUGGCGGCGUGCCUAAUACAUGCAAGUCGAGCGAACAGAUGAGAAGCUUGCUUCUCUGAUGUUAGCGUCGGACGGGUGAGUAACACGUGGGUAACCUGCCUAUAAGACUGGGAUAACUCCGGGAAACCGGGGCUAAUACCGGAUAAUAUUUUGAACCGCAUGGUUCAAUAGUGAAAGACGGUUUCGGCUGUCACUUAUAGAUGGACCCGCGCCGUAUUAGCUAGUUGGUAAGGUAACGGCUUACCAAGGCGACGAUACGUAGCCGACCUGAGAGGGUGAUAGGCCACACUGGAACUGAGACACGGUCCAGACUCCUACGGGAGGCAGCAGUAGGGAAUCUUCCGCAAUGGGCGAAAGCCUGACGGAGCAACGCCGCGUGAGUGAUGAAGGUCUUCGGAUCGUAAAACUCUGUUGUUAGGGAAGAACAAAUUUGUUAGUAACUGAACAAGUCUUGACGGUACCUAACCAGAAAGCCACGGCUAACUACGUGCCAGCCGCCGCCGUAA